GAGGCUUUCCGUGAAGGGUAACGGGAAAUCGGUCCUCAAAGGCACCCCAAAACCGAGGAGUCAGGAGCUGGGCUGCUGCGAUGAGCUGGGGGCAUCAACCGUCAGUCCCGCCUGUGGCUCUGGUGGCGGCACAGCUCUCUCCUGGAGCCUCAUGACAUACCUGCGGACAUGCAUUGGUGGGAGAAAUGAAGCCUUUGCACAUCGGCUGUCGGGUUGCUAAGAGGGACACCUGAAGCCCCGAGGAAGAACCGGUCCCUGUCGUCUCUCUCUGGAGUUUGGGCCUUUAAAUAUUCUGGCCGGAUAUGAACAAAGUAGCAGUCCAACCACUACGGCAAAGAUUUACGCAUAUUUUAAGUGUUCGCUGUCACACAACUGUUAAUGAACUGAUAGUGUGUUGUGUAGUGUGAUCAUCUUACAUGUUCUUCUUUUCUGCUUAACUCAAUAGCUCCUUUGGACAGCGUUACAGUGACUCCGUCUGCCUCCGGCACUCUGUCGUUCCACUCCUGGACCUGUGAAAACAUUCAAACAGAAACGAUAAGGACCAAGGUGAUGAACCCACAUCAUUGUGGCAAGACAGAAGCUCCGGAAGUCCGUCUUGCUCUUUGCAGGGACCCCCUUAUGUUGGCUGAGGUGGUUGGACACCUCAGCCAUGUCCUCCUCUGCGAGAGCAAGGAUUUCGGACUCCUGGCUUGCAGCGCUGGAGGAAUCAAAGGGUCCAUGACUAUGGUAUGACUAUCACACCCCUGUACAGUCUAUUACACCCAUCACAAAUGAAUUACAAUGCCUAACUGACUCUACGUUCACACACUUCCCUACCUGUCAUGCCCCUCUUGGAUCAAGAAUCCCUUUGAGUGGAAGUACUCUGCCAAGGAGUCACAAGACGGGUCCUCCCUGACCAAUUUCCUGACCUGUGAGAAAUUCAUAACCCUCCCCUCUCUUGCCCACUUCUCUUGUGACUCCUUGGCCCUCAGGACUUCCUCCUGGAUACGGCCAUCCUCCGCAUCCCGCAAGCAGGAAUUUCUUAAAUGAUGGUCAAUUUUGAUCUGGGGCUUAAGACAAAUCAAGCAGUGGACCACGCUGCAAGGCUUCCUGUACACAGCUGAAGAACGUCCUGAUUAUUUCUCAGUAACAUAACACGCUUAAUACACUGUGCGCUCGGAUGAGUUUAUUGUGGAAAAAUAAAGAUAUAGAA